rnacentral:misc_RNA from 1 species
GAUGAAGAACGUAGCGAAAUGCGAUAAGUAAUGUGAAUUGCAGAAUUCAGUGAAUCAUCGAAUCUUUGAACGCACAUUGCGCCCGCCAGCAUUCUGGCGGGCAUGCCUGUUCGAGCGUCAUUUCAACCCUCGAGCCCCCCCGGGGGCCUCGGUGUUGGGGGACGGCACACCAGCCGCCCCCGAAAUGCAGUGGCGACCCCGCCGCAGCCUCCCCUGCGUAGUAGCACACACCUCGCACCGGAGCGCGGAGGCGGUCACGCCGUAAAACGCCCAACUUUCUUAGAGUUGACCUCGGAUCAGGUAGGAAUACCCUCUGAACUUAAGCAUAUAAUAAGCGGAGGA